UUGAACGCUAGCGGGAUGCCUUACACAUGCAAGUCGAACGGCAGCACGGACUUCGGUCUGGUGGCGAGUGGCGAACGGGUGAGUAAUAUAUCGGAACGUGCCCAGUAGCGGGGGAUAACUACGCGAAAGCGUAGCUAAUACCGCAUACGCCCCACGGGGGAAAGCAGGGGAUCGCAAGACCUUGCACUAUUGGAGCGGCCGAUAUCGGAUUAGCUAGUUGGUGAGGUAAUGGCUCACCAAGGCGACGAUCCGUAGCUGGUUUGAGAGGACGACCAGCCACACUGGGACUGAGACACGGCCCAGACUCCUACGGGAGGCAGCAGUGGGGAAUUUUGGACAAUGGGGGAAACCCUGAUCCAGCCAUCCCGCGUGUGCGAUGAAGGCCUUCGGGUUGUAAAGCACUUUUGGCAGGAAAGAAAUGGCGUGUGUUAAUACCAUGCGCAGAUGACGGUACCUGCAGAAUAAGCACCGGCUAACUACGU
rnacentral:rRNA from 1 species